UCGCUCACCCGACUACAAGGAAGUCACCUGCGCUUCAUGGCGGCGUUGUGUAAUCGUUCCCGCAUCCACAAAGCAUCGCUCACCGAAGAGUCGUCCAAGGACAGAAAGAGCACCUGCGCACUGGCCGGCAGGUCCUCAACUAGGCUGGACAAGGACGCCUCGGUGCUCCACAGACACUCCAGGAAGGCUGACUUGUUGGUGAAAGCGUGGAUGACCACAGAGCCACUCGUUACUGCUCCAGGCUGGUACACAAACUCCCCACUUAGAGUUGGGACCCUAAACGCAGCAGCCUGGUACCCCGGCUCAGGUGUGCCUGUCAGCCCAGAGCGUCGCAGCGCCACCGAGUCGUCGUGGGCGGCUGAGUCCGCUUGGCUCGCCUCAUAGUCGGUCAACUUCAGCCGCCGCCUCGGUCUCUCCUCGGCUGUUGUCACGUGAGCGUUUAUUACUAGCAACAAGUACAGUAGACAUGAACAUGAACGCGACAUUCUCGCAGACUAAAGACGAGCGUCAGAUAAUAAUAAAGUCAGCAUAAAUUAUGUCUGUGUAUAUGUUCCAUUUGAAGUCGUCUCGGAGUCGUUUUGUUGUCAAGUGUGGCCAUUAGCGGCGUUAGUUUUUGCUAGUUGGGACUGGAGGCGGGUCGAUAGAUUACCACUACGGUGGCUUACCUAGGUCAAAAAGCGUGUACACACCACAUAGCCAUGGUUACCACUUUUAAGCAACUUUGUCUGUGGUGGCUGCGGGCACUGUUGCCACUGAUCUGUAUAAUAUAUCUGGAUAGCUCAUUGGCGAUGAAGCCACACGGCCGCCAUAUUGGCACUCGCAAGAAACACUUCUCGACAAGCUUUUGCAUUCGUGGUGAACUUCUUUUAUUAAUUCGGAUUGGACACAAAUUUAGACUUAAGAUGCCUGCAUGUGCAGCUAUUAACUGCACAAAUCGCCAGUUCAAAGGCUGUGGACGAACAUUUCACUUGUAAGUAUGAUUGAAAUGUAGAUUUAUCAUUGAUCAUUAAAGGGUUUUGCACCGUCGAUCUCUCAGAUAUUUUUUUUCUCCAUGUCCCCUCCGGGGCUCCGUAAUAUAGCUCUAUAAUAGUUAAGAGGAAAUGUACGUACUUUUUUGUUAUAUCAUGAUAUAUGUAUUUCUUUAAGGGAGGAAGGUUACUUGAAGGAAUGGGAGAAUCUCAGUGCUUCCAUGAUGCUUACCAGGCAUUGUAUACAGUGCAGUUAGCAAGCCAGUUUGCAUACAAUUGACCCGGCAUGACCCUUCAUUUGGAUAAACAACCAUUUUUUAUUUGCUGCUGAAUGACUGACGUAAAAGGAUUCAUUCAUAUGAUAUGUUCUGGAAAAUAAUAUUACUGAACAUGCAUACCGGUAUGUUUGAGAUUGCUAACAACGUAUUGUCUUACCCAAAGCAUAUGGUUUUGUUUCAGUGUUGUUGUUUUUUUCUGUGUGUGUGUUGGUGUAUGAGUUUAUGGUUAUUACACAUUAUGGUUAUCACAUAUUAUUCCUGUGGUUUUUGUUCAAAUAUAUUUCUAUAUCAGUAAAGAGCUUAUUUCUAUGCCAUAACACAAACAAAACAAAAAAAUCAGCAAAAUGUGAAAUGAUUUUAAAACUUGUCUCUUUUAUGAUUCAUAUUUUGUACAGAUGAGAGCAUAGUGAAUUGUAUGAAAGUAAGAAUAAAAAGUAAAGGAUCAUGACCAUGGAUUUUAGUGGAAAAAAGGGAUGGGAUAUGCAGUUCAAAUGAAAAUCUCUUUCUAGAGGAGUAAAACUAUCAUUGCUAUAGGGGAGUGCUGAGCCAGGGUGCACAGUAGAAUUUUGUCCCAAAGGCAAUGAGAAUUGGAAGGGGAAAAAGUACAUUUAAUAUAGCCAAAAGAUAGAGAAUAACGUAUCAAAUGGUUUUUAAGGGGCGAAGGUUGCGUUACUUGAAGGAAUGGGAGAAUCUCCCCGCUUUUAAAUGUAAAAUAUACAUUGUAGAUGCUCUGCUAGCCUCUUCAUCUGCUUUGUACACUAUGUACGCUGUGCCAAUGUAGUCGCGAUGUGAGUGGUAAGAUGGCGUCUCUUUGGCUUCAGCGGCUUGCACGGGCGAGUGCGACGUAUGAGCUAUCCAGAUAUAUCAUACAGAUCAGUGACUGUUGUCAACUCCUCAGUAAGAAAAAUAACUAUUGGCUGACCUACAAGUCGCUGAGUGACGCCUUCGGAUAAUUUGCAUAAGACAUUCUAAAAGAUGCUGUAGGAAAAAAAACAUUACCUCCUAGCAAAGACAAAAAAUGUGCGUAAAAACACAUUAAUCACGUCGCACGGCCGAGUGGUUAGCGUGUUGGCCACACAGUCAGGAGAUGGGGAAGACACACUGACAGGUAAGUGACCGAGUCCGAAUUCGGCUUGAGUGUAAUUAGUAGAAAUGUAAUGAAGAUUAAGAAGUGUUCACGUUUUAGAUUCCGCUCUGUAAAACACGGCAAGAUCCACUCCGGCGGCAUGCGUGAUUCAUGGAUGCGUAGAGCUCCACUAUGGCUCUGUGGGCCACAGAAGCUGACUCUGCACUGACGGCAUGUGACCGCUUUGGGGUGGGGAGGACACAAGCUUUCGUUUUUAUUUUAUUCAUUUAUUUUACUUUUAUUUUGUUAUUAUUUUAAAAAGUAUUGAAGAGUAAAUAUCACGUAAAAUACUAAAAUCUAUGUACUUUCAAUGUAAGAAUACUUUCACUAAAAUAUGAGAAUUAUUCAAUGACAAAGUAUUACGAUAUUGUAAUUAUUUGUAUUUUACUUAAGUAUCUAUAUGUGUUUGCAGGAAAAAAAAUGACAUUCUAAAAAUAUAUUAUUCCAAAAAUAUAUUUGCACAAACCAUCACUUUAACCUCAAUAAACGCCUGGUAUGCUCUGUAAUUAAGUAAACGUACGGCGCCAUUGCUAUUCAUAAACACCAACUCAAUGAAAAUUGUGCUUGUAAUGAAGGAGGCUGGUGAGAGAAUUGAUGUCACCAAUGAAGUUAUGUGCAUAAUUGGUUAUAUGCACAGUAAACACCCCCACGGUGCAUCAGCAUCACCGUCAUCACCAGAGGAGCGGCAGUUGCCUGUAUCGGAAUCUAUUCCAUCACAGACACGCAAUUUUUCCCCUAAAUUUCUGAUUAGAGUGAGGUCAAUUUGCAAUGGAGAUUAUUAAACUUCUUUUGUUUCUACUGCUGGCAAAUGUUUGCUGUCUGCAUGGAGACAACCGCAGAAGUGAGAUGAACUACGCAGAGUCUGAGUUCAUUGAGGAUAUUUUGAGGAUGGCAAGAAAACAAGCGCCACCGCAAUAUUUGAGGCUCCCUGGGAAGAAAAACACAGGUGCAAGAAGUCGGACAGCAAGCAACCGUCAAAGAUUUCAAACCUUCGUAGGGUUGAUGGGCAAAAGAAGCUUGGGGUUCCCAACUACAUCGAACAUUAGAGGUCUGCCUGGCAACAGCUGAAGCCCGUGAAGAACAUAUGCACUGAAGACAGUUUCAACCCACAUGGAUAGGAAUAGAUACUGUAUAAUAGAGUAGGAAACGCUGCGUUACCUGGAAGUCGAGAGACGCUUGGCAGCAGACUUUGUCAACCAGCGGCCUCCAGUGGCCAACUCGAAACCUGCACGUCUCUCUGUCAAACGUCUUCCCACUAAGUUCACACAUUCCAGUACGUAAUUAACUCACCUGACUCCACAGUUUGAUCACAGGUUUAUUAAGUGACUUUGUACAAUACAAAUGAAAAAUAACAUUAAAAAUACCGAAAUGGAGUA